GCCAGUGUGGCAUAAUGGUUUGAGUGUUGGAUUACAAAUCUGCAAAUCAGAGUUCGAUUCCCUGCUAAGCCC